GACGAACGCUGGCGGCGUGCCUAAUACAUGCAAGUCGAACGCAUUUUCUUUCAACUUAGCUUGCUACACCGAAAGAAAGUGAGUUGCGAACGGGUUAGUAACACGUCGGUAACCUGCCCAUCAGCUGGGGAUAACACUUGGAAACAGGUGCUAAUACCGCAUAAUUCCAUUUUCCGCAUUGUAGUUGGCUGUUUGGCUCUUUUGCGUCUCUUUUUGAUGGACCCGCGGUGCUUUUGCUGGUUGGUGGGGUAACGGCCUACCAAGGCUGGGAUGCAUAGCCGAACGGAGAGGGAGAUCGGCCGAACUGGGAAGGGGACAAGGCCCAGAGUGAUAGGGGAGGCAGCAGUAGGGAAACUUCGGCAAAAGACGCAAGUCAGACCGAGCAAAGCCGAGUGAGUGAAGAAGGAUUUCGGAUUGUAAAACUCUGUUGUUAGAGAAGAAAAAGGAUGAGAGUGGAAAGUGCAGCGAUUGACGGUAACUAACCAGAAAGCAACGGCUAACUACGUG
rnacentral:rRNA from 1 species